AUUGUGGGAAAUGUAGUCUGCGGUGCUCGGCCGCCUGCGGCGCCGCUGGGACUGUGCGCGGCUGCUGAACCCGGCCCAGCCCCGGGUCGCGGCACGCCUCUCCCUGCAUCGCCAUCUCACCUGUCCCGGAAGCCCGGGCGCCUCCCCGGAGCCCAAACCCCCGCGCGGACCGCAGACCUGGACCGUCGGACCCCUCGGUCCGAGCCCACUGGAGGUUUAUUUCAAGGGAGAGAAAAGGACGCUGCUCUGUGAUGAAGAAGUCUGAAAUCACCAUUAGAAUGCUCCCUGCCACUCCAACGGGUACCCCCAAGUCAGUCUCUCCUGUCCCCUCUGUGCCCCACACUGGAGCUGGGGAAGCGCUCUGCCUGCCCUGAGCGUCUCCUUGUAGUAUGGGGUGGCUGCCUCCACACAGGGGCCUGUGGCUGAUGUGCUGGAGAUGGCUUUGCAUGGAGCUCUCUGGUCCCCUCCACCCCCCGUUUAGUAAGAACCUGUGAAAAAAAGCCCUGAUCAUCAUUCAUUCCCUUGGGAUGGAGAGGAUGGACCUAAACCCCUUCAAGUCACCGCCAGUCGGUAUUUUCUCUCCUCACCAGCUCAGGAACCCAGCUUCCCUCCUUUAGGAACUGCCAUAGGAGGCAAGUCAGAAGUUUUCUGCCUAAUCAGACCUCUUGACCAUCUCCGUGUUGACGUCCAUCAGCUGCCCCAUAGUACUGUCACCUGCGAGUAUUACAACUACUUAGCAAACUGGUAGCUGCUGGGAAGCACUCUCAGAGUGACUCUGCAAGCAAGCUGACCCAGAGGAACCAUAACCGGAACAGACUUGACAUCUGCCUGCCUGUGACCAGAGCAUCCCAGACAGUUCUCCUACUCUUCCUCCCUUCUUUGCUUGAUAUGAGUGAUAAGCAUUAUUGACUAAUCUGUGCUUUUGCUAUAAUUGAGUUGUCUGUGUGCAUUUGAGAAAUCUGACAUUGUGGAAUGACACAAAUGUGUGCGGUUGCCUUCUUGGGAGAGAAUUUCUCCCAGGUUUGGUGCUUAUGUGCGUAACAGGUCUGGAAUUGGAAGUGGACCUGGGAAUUGAACUUAAGCACUCUAAUAUGGAAGGCAGGAAUCCUAAGCAGUGUCUUAAGCAGAAAUUGUUUAAAAAUUUUGUAAUGUUGAUUUGUCAACUUUAAUUUUAUUUGAAGAGGGAGGGAGGG